AAUGCAAGAAGCCAGGUGUUUUUUAAAUAGGAAAGGUUGGUUGGAUUCUAGUAGAAGCUCAAACCCAGGUAACAGAAUACCCAGAUCCAGUCCCGGCGAGCCAGGUGAAGACCACACUGGGACCCCGGGAUGGGACCAGCAUUUCUGGAAGUCACAUAGUGCCUGGCCCGUCACCUGGGGCCGAAGGGAUGGGGCAGCUUUGUUUUACAAGCAAUUGCAUUGAUAUAGGGAAAAUGGAAGCCAAAUGACCCUAUAAUUUGGUAAGAGGCUUCACAGAAAGGGCUGGGCUUUGUUGGGCCUCGUUGGGGGGAAGGAGAGGGUGUCGGUGUUCUCAGGCCUGGACCCGAGGAAAGGCACACGGGGUGGGGGGCAUGGACGGUGCCCUCCCGGCCGCCCCAGGCCUGUGGGUGCCUUUCGAGGGAGAGUUCAGGGCAGACAGUGGGAGCGUCCAGACACGGACAGGACCCAGGCGUUCGUUACGGGAGCCUCAGCGUGAGUCAGCCCCAGCAGCCUGGUCCGCCCUGACUGUCCUGAUCCUUGAGAACCGAACCGGGGACGGCUACUGAGGGGGACUUCAUCGUCUUCGUCAUCAAGCUCUCCGUGCCUGUCGCCAGCAAGCCUGGGAAGCUCAGACCCGCUCCGGGACCCAGGACCCGGGACCUGAGCCUGGCGGGAGGCUGCCUCCAAGCCCACCUGACUGCCCUCCUGCCUGGAUCGGGGCUGCAGGAGGGCAUGCAGGCCCGGCACAGGGAAGGAACAAACGCACAGUGGCAGGCGGGGGGGUAGGAGGAAGAAAAUACUGGAAGGGUAAAUCAGAUCUAAUAAAACUCGGUUCUCAGGUGUGGAGGGGACUCUACAGAAGGGGCGGAGAACUGGGAAGAGGAAUGUAUACCUAAUAUAACCUCAGUCACCACUGGGGAGGCUGCAGGAGUGUCUCCCCCAGAAAGGGGAUGUGUAU